AGUUUGAUCCUGGCUCAGGAUGAACGCUAGCUACAGGCUUAACACAUGCAAGUCGCGGGGCAUCGGCGGUGAGUAGCAAUACUUUCUGGCGGCGACCGGCGGAUGGGGUGAGUAACGCGUAUCCAAACCUGGCCCCUAUCUCGGGGGACAGCCCCUCGAAAGAGGGAUUAAUACCCGAUGUUCCCUGGUUUCCGCAUGUUUACCAGGGCAAAAGGCAUAUUGUCGGAUAGGGAUGGGGAUGCGUUCCAUUAGGCAGUCGGCGGGGUAACGGCCCACCGAGCCUACGAUGGAUAGGGGUUCUGAGAGGAAGGCCCCCCACACUGGGACUGAGACACGGCCCAGACUCCUACGGGAGGCAGCAGUGAGGAAUAUUGGUCAAUGGCGGCAACGCUGAACCAGCCAAGUAGCGUGAGGGAUUACUGCCCUAUGGGUUUUAAACCUCUUUUGUUGGGGAGCAACCGGCAUCACCUUGUGGUGCCCUGCGAGUACCCUUCGAAUAAGCAUCGGCUAACUCCGUGCC
rnacentral:rRNA from 1 species